UUUUCUUUCAAACUGAUAAGAGAUUCACAGCAUUUGAUGACAGAAAUAAUAUUUCACAACAGGAAAGAAGCAGCAUUAGAUCUUAUGUAUCUCCAUUGUUCAUAUUAUUGUUGUUCUCAUUUCAAUGUCGAAAAUAUAUAAGGCACCAUUUUUUACUGUUUCAAACAGUUUUAUGAGUUUAGUCUCUUAUCCCGCUGUCAAUUGUUG
rnacentral:misc_RNA from 1 species